GACGAACGCAGGCGGCGUGCCUAACACAUGCAAGUCGAACGGAGAAGUUCAGCAAUGGAUUUCUUAGUGGCGAACGGGUGAGUAACGCGUAGACAACCUGCCUCUAAGCUGGGGACAACAACUCGAAAGGGUUGCUAAUACCGAAUGUGAACAGUGCCUCGCAUGAGAUGCUGUUUGAAGGUGGCCUCUGAAUAUGCUACCGCUUAGAGAUGGGUCUGCGUCUGAUUAGCUAGUUGGAGGGGUAAUGGCCCACCAAGGCGACGAUCAGUAGCCGGUCUGAGAGGAUGAACGGGCACACUGGGACUGAGACACGGCCCAGACUCCUACGGGAGGCAGCAGUGGGGAAUCUUCCGCAAUGGACGAAAGUCUGACGGAGCAACGCCGCGUGAGUGAAGAAGGCCCUCGGGUCGUAAGGCUCUGUCUUCAGGGACGAAUGUGCAGAUUGUGGAUAAUGGUUUGUAAUGACGGUACCUGAGGAGGAAGCCACGGCUAACUACGUGCCAGCAGCCGCAGUAA
rnacentral:rRNA from 1 species